UUUCCAAAGGCUGUAAGUUGGAUGAUCGUAAGGUGUGCAAGGACAUGUGCUAGGAACGGAAUGGGGCCAGGCUGGCGAGGCGAGUGCAGCAGGAGAAUGAAUUGUGAGGCUUGCAUACGAGGCUUACAUGGCGAUUGGCGCACGGCAAACUGCAAGUACAUUGCAAGAUGUCGUUGCGGGCGCAAGUUUGCUAGAAGCACAGGAACCACAACCAGAAGAAGAAGAACAGCAGCACAGCAACAGCGCGCGCACAGGACACGUCGCGUCGUGUCUGUGCAAUGAAGGAGGAACAAAGGAGUAGUCCUAGAGUGGCGAUCCUUGUUGCGCGCGGAUGUCCAUGCCACGACAGGCAACAUGAUGGGUGCUUUGCACGCUGCCAAUUUGCUUCCGAGCACUCCAAGAGCGGACAUACAAAGCAGCGCAACGGGCCCCCCCGCUAUCCCUCAAACCUCACGCAAUAGUCCAUACCAAGCGCUGCCGUCCGUAAGGGCAGCAGCUGCCGUUCACACACGGGUUAAGGUCGGACAUGUAUGCACCGUGAACGAAGGCCUAAGGGCGAUCGUGCCCAAAUGAAACAGCACUGGCGCGAGUUUGCUAGAAGCACAGGAACCACAACCAGAAGACCAAGAACAGCAGCACAGCAACAGCGCGCGCACAGGACACGUGACGUGGUUUCCGUGCUAAGAAGGAGGAAUAAAGGAGAAGUGUUAGAGUGAAGAUCGAUGUGGCCCGUGGAUGGCCACGCCAGAACAGUGAACAUGAUGGGUGUUUUACACCCUUCCAAGUUCCCCCCGAGCACUCGAAGAGCGGACAUGCGAUGGAGCGCAAGGAGCCCCCCCCUAUCCUCAAACCUCACGCAAUAGACCAUCCCACGCUCUGCCGUCNNNNNNNNNNNNNNNNNNNNNNNNNNNNNNNNNNNNNNNNNNNNNNNNNNUUAAUUUUGUGUAUGCUAUCUUUAAUUUGCGACAGUUUGUAUUUUGACUUCAGACGAAAAAAGAUGCUGUUUGCGUAUGUAAGCAGGCGCCACGUCUUUUCGAAAAGUGCCGCUUCGCCAGGCGCUUCAUCUUCCGCGGCCAUUCCAUGAGCGCGUGUUGAUACCAAGUUAUAUGCUUUCAGUUACGUCAAGACAGCCAUACAUUCCUACGGUCCUGCUUGCCGCGUGCAACUGUGGCCAACAUGCUGCCGCACAAGCGCGCUGACACACCACGACUUUUCGCCAAGAAAAUUUACAUACACUUGUACAGGCGCAUUUUUCGAAACGCACGUGCGCAUCCGCGAGGCAAAAUUCGCUCCUGGCUUUGGGGACGAUGUACGGAGGGUCUAUUCGGCAGAGUACGACCGGACACAUUUGUGCGAGGGGCUGCUUAAACGAGGGGGGUCCUUGUGAAGCAGCUGCCCGCGUUUCCAAAGGCUGUAAGUUGGAUGAUCGUAAGGUGUGCAAGGACAUGUGCUAGGAACGGAAUGGGGCCAGGCUGGCGAGGCGAGUGCAGCAGGAGAAUGAAUUGUGAGGCUUGCAUACGAGGCUUACAUGGCGAUUGGCGCACGGCAAACUGCAAGUACAUUGCAAGAUGUCGUUGCGGGCGCAAGUUUGCUAGAAGCACAGGAACCACAACCAGAAGAAGAAGAACAGCAGCACAGCAACAGCGCGCGCACAGGACACGUCGCGUCGUGUCUGUGCAAUGAAGGAGGAACAAAGGAGUAGUCCUAGAGUGGCGAUCCUUGUUGCGCGCGGAUGUCCAUGCCACGACAGGCAACAUGAUGGGUGCUUUGCACGCUGCCAAUUUGCUUCCGAGCACUCCAAGAGCGGACAUACAAAGCAGCGCAACGGGCCCCCCCGCUAUCCCUCAAACCUCACGCAAUAGUCCAUACCAAGCGCUGCCGUCCGUAAGGGCAGCAGCUGCCGUUCACACACGGGUUAAGGUCGGACAUGUAUGCACCGUGAACGAAGGCCUAAGGGCGAUCGUGCCCAAAUGAAACAGCACUGGCGCGAGUUUGCUAGAAGCACAGGAACCACAACCAGAAGACCAAGAACAGCAGCACAGCAACAGCGCGCGCACAGGACACGUGACGUGGUUUCCGUGCUAAGAAGGAGGAAUAAAGGAGAAGUGUUAGAGUGAAGAUCGAUGUGGCCCGUGGAUGGCCAC
rnacentral:lncRNA from 1 species